AUUGAACGCUGGCGGUAGGCCUAACACAUGCAAGUCGAACGGUAACAGGCCUUCGGGUGCUGACGAGUGGCGAACGGGUGAGUAAUGCAUCGGAACGUGCCCAAUCGUGGGGGAUAACGUAGCGAAAGUUACGCUAAUACCGCAUAAGCCCUGAGGGGGAAAGUGGGGGACCGCAAGGCCUCACGCGAAUGGAGCGGCCGAUGUCAGAUUAGCUAGUUGGUGGGGUAAAGGCCCACCAAGGCGACGAUCUGUAGCGGGUCUGAGAGGAUGAUCCGCCACACUGGGACUGAGACACGGCCCAGACUCCUACGGGAGGCAGCAGUGGGGAAUUUUGGACAAUGGGCGCAAGCCUGAUCCAGCCAUGCCGCGUGCGGGACGAA
rnacentral:rRNA from 1 species